rnacentral:rRNA from 1 species
GUGGGGAAUUUUGGACAAUGGGGGCAACCCUGAUCCAGCAAUGCCGCGUGCAGGAAGAAGGCCUUCGGGUUGUAAACUGCUUUUGUACGGAACGAAAAGGCUCUGGUUAAUACCUGGGGCACAUGACGGUACCGUAAGAAUAAGCACCGGCUAACUACGUGCCAGCAGCCGCGGUAAUACGUAGGGUGCAAGCGUUAAUCGGAAUUACUGGGCGUAAAGCGUGCGCAGGCGGUGCUGUAAGACAGGCGUGAAAUCCCCGGGCUUAACCUGGGAAUGGCGCUUGUGACUGCAGUGCUGGAGUGUGGCAGAGGGGGAUGGAAUUCCGCGUGUAGCAGUGAAAUGCGUAGAUAUGCGGAGGAACACCGAUGGCGAAGGCAAUCCCCUGGGCCUGCACUGACGCUCAUGCACGAAAGCGUGGGGAGCAAACAGGAUUAGAAACCCGUGUAGUCC